rnacentral:lncRNA from 1 species
UUGACGCCAUAAAGCUGACUGGGAGAUGCCACCUAGAUCAACUCGCACUCCUCAUUGUACAGCUCCUCCUAGACCACCUGUUCUCCUGUGGGGGUUUAUAUAUUGCAAGUGUGAGCUCACAAAAAGAUCAUAGCUCAACAAGUUGUGGGGAAUAAUGUGCAUGAACUCACCAAAGGUGGGAGUUCAUGUGAAGUGUAAGGCUGAUCAACAAUAGGGGUUAAAGCUGAGCAUUGAUUUUAAUAAGUUGGUCAAAUUUAAUUAGCAGUUACUAAAUGUAAGUAAAUACCAAACCAGAAUGAUAAUAGAUCAAAAUUAAUAAUAAAUCUCAAUGCGAUGCAAAUGACAAAUUGAAUUUAAUUCCAUAAUUUAAUCAUGCGAGAGUCCUGAGCUGCUCAUUACCGCGAGCACGGCUAGUAUACCAGUUUUACACUCUGCAGAGGUUGUACCCUGUACCCACAAGUCGUGUAUUCUAUGAUGCCUGGGUUUGCAAGGCCCUUAGACACUAUCGAGGUGAAUGGCUAGGGAUCCACUACGAGGCCUUUAUAAAGUUCCACUAGCUUCAAAAACCCCGCUACAGUUUCAAGGAAGAGCAAUACAGGAAUCCCCCGUCUGACCGCCAUCACAGCAAAAUCAACCCGGGAACCUCCCUACACGCCUACUCCCCUACUGCCCUUGCCCCUAUCGGGUAAGGCAGUCCUCCACUAGCUUUCCUAAUUAGUCAGCCAAGGGUGUUCCAUUCCACCCUUGUGGUGGCACGUGUUUCUCAAGUUAAGCUCGAUGUUCCAAUUAACAUAGUUGUCUUAUCAUGAACAGAAAUAGAAUACUAAUAAAGAAUAAUCGUGUGUAAUAGUUAUCUCAACACCCAAACCAUGUAUAGCAAUAGCAAUGACUACCCAAAAAUUCAGGGGUAAACAAGGUGAAAAGAUAACCAGACUAGGGUGACCUAUUGGGUCCAAUCAAAAUUAAGCCAAUGCAUGAAUAAAUGAUUAUAAAGAACAUUAUUGGGUAAAUAAAAGUGGUCAAGGGCAUAACUUGCCUUCAAUGAGCUCCUGCUUAGCAACUUCUACCUGCUGAACACCCAGAUCCUCGGCCACUGGCCCUUCUACUCGCCACAAUACAAACAAAUAUGGUACAAGGAUAAACUAACAUCACACCAAACAUGAAUACAUAAUACAUAAUAAUAAUCUACAUGUCGUAACGAGAUCGUAGGAAAAAGAAUCACUAAAUUCAGAGUUACGGAUUUUAAGUUAUGAUUUUCCGAAGUUCGUAUGUGCUUGGUACAAAAUUAAUUGAGUAAUCAAUUCUAGUAUAGUUUUCAUGUUAAAACAAUGUUACCAAGUGAUAGACAAUAUUAAUACAAAACUAUAGGAACUGGAAUGGACUAAAAAGAAGCUAAAAUGAAUUUUAUAGGAAUUAAUCAAGUUUCUGCAAUUGAUUUUGUACUAGAAAUCAUUUUCUAAAUAAUUUCUCUGGUUUCAUUAAAUGUAUGGACUGCGCUCACUAAUAACAGAUAGCUCGAGGUUAAACUUGCAAAAUGCCCUAGACUCAGACUAUAGUUGAGAGGAUCGCGGGUUGAUUUCUAUCUUCUGCGGGGUCUCUUUGACAAAAUCUCCUGGCCCAAGGGGUAUGCUUUGCCCAGAGCCGUCCGAUCCCAAUCGGACGCACCAGAUUAGACCAAGACCCCGCGAAUUGGUACGUGAUGCAGACCGCCCGAUCCGCAAUCAACGCACACGAUUUAACACAACUGAUGUAGGUAUCGAUCGUCCAAUCCUGAUCGGACGCUCCCCGACCCCAUACCUCAAUCGAUAUUCUCGUUUUGAUCUAGACCGCCCAUCCUGUGGCCGACGGCCACAACACCCUGGCCAAACCUGAGGCCGCCAGAAGCAGCGCCGCCCCGCGCCCGCGGCGGACCAUCACUGGCGCACCGCAGAUCCGCACGAAUGGCGCCCCAAUUCGAACCCGAGAGGUGCUACGCACGUAGAAAAGUAAGACAAGGCAUACGGAGGGGUUAUCACCACAAGUCGGAACAGUGGUGGCCCUGCCCACACGAUUGCGCGCUCGGCGGUGAUUCUCCGGUGACGACGAGCAAUUCUUGUCCCCAAGAAGCUCCCUUGCGCUCACCAUGGCCUCGGCGAGCAACCUUGCAACCCCGAGUAGCUCAACAAUGUAUCGCCACUGCCCAGCGCACCACAAUCACAUGCGUCUGCGACGGUGGGGGUCUUCUCCUUUGGUUUGACCCAGUCUACAUGGCGGCGGCGUAGAUGGGGAAGUUGGAGCGUGAGAAAAG